rnacentral:tRNA from 1 species
GGCUCGUUGGUCUAGGGGUAUGAUUCUCGCUUCGGGUGUGAGAGGUCCCGGGUUCAAAUCCCGGCCGAGCCC